CCUACGGGGGGCUGCAGUGGGGAAUAUUGGACAAUGGGCGAAAGCCUGAUCCAGCAAUACCGAGUGAGUGAUGAAGGCCCUAGGGUUGUAAAGCUCUUUUAGCAAGGAAGAUAAUGACGUUACUUGCAGAAAAAGCCCCGGCUAACUCCGUGCCAGCAGCCGCGGUAAGACGGAGGGGGCUAGCGUUGUUCGGAAUUACUGGGCGUAAAGAGUGCGUAGGCGGUUUAGUAAGUUGGAAGUGAAAGCCCGGGGCUUAACCUCGGAAUUGCUUUCAA
rnacentral:rRNA from 1 species